UUGAUGAAAGCCAAAAUUUAGAGGCCCACCACUGUUAAUGGUGUUAUUGAAAACUUUUUCUCAUCAAG
rnacentral:tRNA from 1 species